rnacentral:rRNA from 1 species
GAUGAACGCUGGCGGCGUGCCUAAUACAUGCAAGUCGAGCGAAUGGAUUAAGAGCUUGCUCUUAUGAAGUUAGCGGCGGACGGGUGAGUAACACGUGGGUAACCUGCCCAUAAGACUAGGAUAACUCCGGGAAACCGGGGCUAAUACCGGAUAACAUUUUGAACCGCAUGGUUCGAAAUUGAAAGGCGGCUUCGGCUGUCAAUUAUGGAUGGACUCGCGUCGCAUUAGCUAGUUGGUGAGGUAACGGCUCACCAAGGCAACGAUGCGUAGCCGACCUGAGAGGGAGAUCGGCCACACUGGGACUGAGACACGGCCCAGACUCCUACGGGAGGCAGCAGUAGGGAAUCUUCCGCAAUGGACGAAAGUCUGACGGAGCAACGCCGCGUGAGUGAUGAAGGCUUUCGGGUCGUAAAACUCUGUUGUUAGGGAAGAACAAGUGCUAGUUGAAUAAGCUGGCACCUUGACGGUACCUAACCAGAAAGCCACGGCUAACUACGUGCCAGCCGCCGCGGUAA